GUCGGAUUCUAUUUAGUUUUGAGAGAUUCAUUCUCUCCCAUAUUAGUUUUUAAUAUGGUGAUCGAUCUUUGAAAACUGAAUAAUAUCAACAAAUCUUUCUAAUCAAUGACGAUUGAAUUUGUCAUUGAAAAGAUACUAUAUUUUUAAUAUAGUUAACAAUCAUAUAACAAAACUUAAAGGAUUUAUAAUAAGUUACUAAGAGCUUAUGGUGAAUGCCUUGGGACAAACAGGCGAUGAAGGACGUGCAAAUCUGCGAUAAGCAACGGGUAGUUGAUAAGAAACGCCAAUCCGUUGAUCUCCGAAUGAGGAAACUCAGUAUAGUAACUCCAUUACUAUACUAUUAUUAAGUGAAUACAUAGCUUAAUAAAGCGAUACUUGGUGAAGUGAAACAUCUCAGUAGC
rnacentral:misc_RNA from 1 species